rnacentral:lncRNA from 1 species
GUCUCAUAAAGUCAAAUUAUGCGGGAUGAGUCAGUGACGCAGGAGCUAAAAACAGUGUCCCUUUAAAAAUGUGCAUGCCUUUCAAAUGGAAUAAGUAAAGUACUUGCAGAUGCAAAUGGUUUCAAGUUUCACUGGAGACCCAGCGAGAGCGGCUGUUCUCAAAGUUGCCAGGCAGUGUGGAAACGCCCGCUGAGGGGCACACAGUGAGGCGGCCACUGGCUCUGUGUCCUUGGGGAAGCCCCUUCUGCGGUCCCCUCCAUUGUCUGCGUGACAAAGUGGACGCAGAACUCCCCCAUUUCCUGCCCAGGGCGGGUGAGGACCCUGCACACACACGGUGUGUUUGUGAGCUGUGCAGAGUGGGGUCUCCCUGGCAAUGGCCACAGCCUCCAGAGGCGCUGACACCUCCUGUCUAACUGAUAGACAGUUUCUGCCUCUUCUUGUUUGGGGAUUGGAGAGGGAAGUGCGUCUGGAUGACUACUAAGUGAGGAGGCUGAGGCCUAGUGCUCCCAGGGGGCUUGGUCAAGAGCAGGAGGCGGAGGUGGUGGAAGGCUGUUUCCCUGCGGCAGAUGAGCCUCGUCCGAUCAGUUCACAGCUUGAGAGAAAAAGACUGGUCUCCCCAGAAGGACGUCUGCAGCUCUUCCCAGCGUCCCCAGCCUGUCCACCUGCCCCAGUCAAUCAUGGCCUUGCCCUCCUCCACAGUCAGGCAUAUAUAUGACAAGCGAUUUGGACCAACUCUUUCAUGGAUGGUCUUCAAGUACCUUCCCAGGACUGACAGAAACUCCAUUUGCACCAGCUUACAUUAAAAAAAAAGGAGGGAGAAUAUGGUCGAAUACGCUGCAUCGAACACAGAACAAAAAGACUCACUACAACGCUGCAGCCACAAUAGCGUGUGAUUUCAAGUCUUAAAAACCAGAAUCACUUUUUUCUCUGGACUGGAAGCAUAUUUAUUUUGGCCGUAGCCCUGCUGUCACCUACGGAAAACAAGAACCUCGUGGCAAUGGCUGAACUGGGAAUCCAGAGAAUCACAGGCCGCUUUUUUGUUCUCCCUCGGCCUUGGAGGGCCUGGGACGUUCCUGUUGCCCAACAUCCUGACUUCACAGCGGUUGGAAGGAGGUCACCAAUUCUGGGACCCAGGACUUCUGCAGGAUAGUGGACGCCUGGGUUCCCCCCGCCUUGCCCUGCACAUGUCGUUUUGUAUAGGAGGCUGCCACCUCCCAAAAGCCCCCUGCUCCUCGAGUGGGUUGAGCCUGAGACCCCACAUCCACAGACGUGCCCAGCGGCCUUGCGUGCUCGACACAGGCUCGUUCAGGUACGACCAGAUAACGGGGCAUACCUGGUCCCAGAGUUCAAGGGCUUGUCUUAUUUUAUUUUAAACAUCAGACUCUAACUGCUUGUUUAAUCUAAAUGUUAGCAAUCAACCUACAGCCACCUGAAAUAUGUGAGUGGUGUUUAACAGAUGAUAAAGAUCAUAUAUUACUUGCAUGGAAAGAAUGCAGAAAUAUAGGUGUCCCUUUUAGUCUUUAGUGUGUCCCCAUAAUCAAUGUCCCCAGCUCAUUAAUGAAAAGUUCCCCUCCUCCUCCAUAACAGAGUACACCAGUCAUCAUAAGAAGAAAAAUUCACAUUUAAAGUUUGGAAAGCAACAGGACAAAGGUCUGUCUUCAGUGGUGCGUAGACAUGCUCGUGACUGAAUUGGAAAUAGUUCUCUUUCCUUCUCUCUGACUUCCUAACUGAAAAGCUGCAGCGUGGGGAGAAAGGCUGCUCAGAAGCCUGGAGCCAGAACACGCACCCCGGCUUUCGUAGGGCAGGCUCACUUGGUUAGAAUAGAAGGAAAAGCCUUGUUAUUUGGGAAGCUGGGCGUCCUCACCAAAUUAGGGGAUUUAAUUUGCAGAUAUCUAAGGAGUGCUUUGAAAUGAAAGAUGAACUAAAAUCUGCUCUGAGGCCCAUGAUUUUUCACCAGUGGAGAAGGAUUCUCUUGCUGCUGGACAUACGUGAAAAGCAUCAUCUGAUCUGAAACGCAAGUCCCUGCAAGACAGAGGAGAGACUUUAUAAACAUUUUAUACCAUUCUAUGAAAUCAAUUCGAUUCAGAGCUAGAAUUCAAGAAAUAAUCCAUGGGAGUAUCCUACGAAGAUGGUCUCAAAGUACUUUGAGAUGAACAGAAUGUUCUAUAAAUGGGUAUUGAAAAUAAUCAAGACAUUCAUGGAUCCAAACAGGCCACAGAAAUACCAUAGCAACAAAUGAACAAUAAUUGCUGCAUUAUGGGCUCUUUCCCCAGCUGCACUCAUGCAAUCAAAGCUCUGCUGCGUCUUCAGAGGAGCCCAGGUCAGGUCUGGCUGCCAUCACCCAUGAGGAAGACGUGCGGAGCCAGACAGGUGCCUGGAGGAAAGGUGGGUGUGUGCUGUCCUGCCCCAUCCUCUCUGUUUCCCUCCCACGUGUUUGCAGAGACGUCCUUAGCAUGGAACCAGGGCCCUUGACAGAGACAUUGUCAUUCUGGACACCCCACACCCAAGCCAGUUCAUCCAAGUCACCCGAUAAAAUUGUGCUCUGAAGAAACUGCCUGUUGCAGCAAACUCCUUACCUUACUGGACGCAUAGCGAUGGCCAGCACAGGAUGAGGCCAUGGGAGGAUCUUAAUGACGCAGUCCACUCUGCAAACCAAGGUCAACAAGGCAGCAGGUAUGGCCACGGCCCCUCACCAUGGACUCUGUACGAGCCAAUACACUGUGUUCUAUUCCCCAGUUAUUUCUGAAUAUGGCCGCAGGGAGAUGUGAGCCAGCCCUCCUUCUCUAGGGCACACAGAGGCUAGAAAAGAUCCACAGGACCUGUUCAACUUGCCAGUGAUCCCAAACUCCUGACCCAGGCAGAUCACUAAGAGAGACAGAGAAAUAUUCCCUUUUCUAGGAAGGUCCUCUGGCCUCACCCAGCUCCAUGAUGUGUCCACUAGCUCGAGACACCCCAGUUAUUGGGGGCAUCUUCUCCAACGGUAGGGAGGACUGCGGCGAGGGCAGCUGUGGAGAUGGUAGAAUCUUUCCUGUGGGAUUCUAGAAUGUUGUGUCCCCUCUGGAAGAGACACAAGGAGUGAGGGUGAGGCUGGAAAGGGUGUGGGAGGGAGAACCUUCCUUAUUGCCUAGCGUCCCUCAGGGGCCAGUGACCAACCUUAUUAGCCACCUCUGCAUUCAACCACUUCCUCUCUCCUGAGGCAGCCCGAGCCUGAAUAUCUCAGCAAGGCAUUAAGAAAGGCUUUAAUAAUUGAUUUAAUUAAAGUCUAAAAAUUAUAGAACCAGCUCCUAUGCGUUGAGUGAUUUCAGAGCUCUCUUUUUCUUUGCCGUCUUCGAAGGGUAAUCUGGAUGCUGGAGGGUUGCUCUCUGGCUUGACAAACUCAGUUUGUUUCCAUAGUUACAAAACACUUGUGCUCUUCCCGACCCACAAUCCAUCAGGAGGGGUACGCUGGCUGCCUGGUAACCACGAGAUCAUUUCCUGAAUUCGCAGACCUCUUUAACGUUAUCCAAACAUUAGAAAGGUGGUUGACCACACCUGUUUUGUGCACUCCCUGACAAUCUCAUUUUGAUUUAAGUAUUUUGUAGGAAGCAAAGGAAAGACUAUUUGCACUAU